GAGUUUGAUCGUGGCUCAGGACGAACGCUGGCGGCGUGCCUAAUACAUGCAAGUCGAGCGAGCUGAACCAGCAGAUUCACUUCGGUGAUGACGCUGGGAACGCGAGCGGCGGAUGGGUGAGUAACACGUGGGUAACCUGCCCUAAAGUCUGGGAUACCACUUGGAAACAGGUGCUAAUACCGGAUAACAACAAUAGCUGCAUGGCUAUUGCUUAAAAGGCGGCGAAAGCUGUCGCUAAAGGAUGGACCCGCGGUGCAUUAGCUAGUUGGUAAGGUAAUGGCUUACCAAGGCGACGAUGGCGUAGCCGAGUUGAGAGACUGACCGGCCACAUUGGGACUGAGACACGGGCCAAACUCCUACGGGAGGCAGCAGUAGGGAAUCUUCCACAAUGGGCGAAAGCCUGAUGGAGCAACGCCGCGUGAGUGAAGAAGGUUUUCGGAUCGUAAAGCUCUGUUGUUGGUGAAGAAGGAUAGAGGAGUAACUGGCCUAUUUGACGGUAAUCAACCAGAA
rnacentral:rRNA from 1 species